CCUACGGGGGCAGCAGUAGGGAAUAUUGGACAAUGGGUGCAAGCCUGAUCCAGCCAUGCCGCGUGCAGGAAGAAGGCUUUCUGAGUUGUAAACUGCUUUUGCCAGGGGAUAAAAUACGGGUGCGCCCGGACUUGAAGGUACCUGGUGAAUAAGCCACGGCUAACUACGUGCCAGCAGCCGCGGUAAUACGUAGGUGGCAAGCGUUGUCCGGAUUUAUUGGGUUUAAAGGGUGCGUAGGCGGUCCUCUAAGUCAGUUGUGAAAUACUUCAGCUUAA
rnacentral:rRNA from 1 species